GUGGGGAAUAUUGGACAAUGGGCGAAAGCCUGAUCCAGCCAUGCCGCGUGUGUGAAGAAGGUCUUCGGAUUGUAAAGCACUUUAAGUUGGGAGGAAGGGCAGUAAGUUAAUACCUUGCUGUUUUGACGUUACCGACAGAAUAAGCACCGGCUAACUUCGUGCCAGCAGCCGCGGUAAUACGAAGGGUGCAAGCGUUAAUCGGAAUUACUGGGCGUAAAGCGCGCGUAGGUGGUUCAGCAAGUUGGAGGUGAAAUCCCCGGGCUCAACCUGGGAACUGCCUCCAAAACUGCAUGACUAGAGUACGGUAGAGGGUAGUGGAAUUUCCUGUGUAGCGGCGAAAUGCGUAGAUAUAGGAAGGAACACCAGUGGCGAAGGCGACUACCUGGACUGAUACUGACACUGAGGUGCGAAAGCGUGGGGAGCAAACAGGAUUAGAAACCCGAGUAGUCC
rnacentral:rRNA from 1 species